rnacentral:tRNA from 1 species
GCGCGAGUGGUGAAAUUGGUAUACACGCCAGAUUUAGGUUCUGGUGUCUUAGGACGUGCGGGUUCGAGUCCCGCCUCGCGCACAA